AACAGAUCCUCACUUGCUGGACGGCUGGCGAUGAUCUUUAUCGAUUGUCGUCAGUUGCCAGAACGUUUACUUUGAGAAAAUUAGAGUGCUAAAAGCAGGCUCACGCCUAUAUAUAUUGCAUGGAAUAAUGAAAUAAGAUCUCGGUUUUAUUUCGUUGGUUUUAGAAAUUGAGAUAAUGAUUAAUAGGAUCAGAGGGGGGCGUACGUACUGUGGUGUGAGAGGUGAAAUUCUUGGAUCGCCACAGGACGAACAGCAGCGAAGGCGUUCGCCAAGAAUGUUUUCAUUAAUCAAGAACGAAAGUUUGAGGUUCGAAGACGAUUAGAUACCGUCCUAGUUCAAACCAUAAACGUUGCCAACUGUCUUUUAGAUGCGGUUACUCAUAUGACUCAUCUGGCGGAUCUCGAGAAAUCUAAGUUUUUAGGUUCCGGGGGAAGUAUGGUUGCAAAGCUGAAACUUAAAAGAAUUGACGGAAGGACACACAAGAAGUGGAGCCUGUGGCCUAAUUUGACUCACACGGGAAACCUUACUCGGCCAGGACACUUUUAGGAUUGACAGAUUGAGAGCUCUUUCUUGAUUAGGUGG
rnacentral:rRNA from 1 species